AUUGAACGCUGGCGGCAUGCCUUACACAUGCAAGUCGAACGGUAACAGAUCUUCGGAUGCUGACGAGUGGCGAACGGGUGAGUAAUACAUCGGAACGUGCCUAGUAGUGGGGAAUAACUACUCGAAAGAGUGGCUAAUACCGCAUGAGAUCUACGGAUGAAAGCAGGGGAUCGCAAGACCUUGUGCUACUAGAGCGGCCGAUGGCAGAUUAGGUAGUUGGUGGGAUAAAAGCAUACCAAGCCGACGAUCUGUAGCUGGUCUGAGAGGACGAUCAGCCACACUGGGACUGAGACACGGCCCAGACUCCUACGGGAGGCAGCAGUGGGGAAUUUUGGACAAUGGGCGCAAGCCUGAUCCAGCAAUGCCGCGUGCAGGAUGAAGGCCUUCGGGUUGUAAACUGCUUUUGUACGGAACGAAAAGCCCUGGGUUAAUACCCUGGGGUCAUGACGGUACCGUAAGAAUAAGCACCGGCUAACUACGUGCCAGCCGCCGCGGUAAAAC
rnacentral:rRNA from 1 species